UACGGGGGGGGCAAGCGUUGUUCGGAAUUACUGGGCGUAAAGGGCGCGUAGGCGGCCUGCUAAGUCGGAUGUGAAAUCCCUCGGCUCAACCGAGGAACUGCAUCCGAUACUGGCGGGCUUGAAUCCGGGAGAGGGAUGUGGAAUUCCAGGUGUAGCGGUGAAAUGCGUAGAUAUCUGGAGGAACACCGGUGGCGAAGGCGGCAUCCUGGACCGGUAUUGACGCUGAGGCGCGAAAGCGAGGGGAGCAAACAGG
rnacentral:rRNA from 1 species